rnacentral:rRNA from 1 species
UACGGAGGGUGCAAGCGUUAUCCGGAUUUACUGGGUUUAAAGGGUGCGUAGGUGGAUUUGUAAGUCAGUGGUGAAAUCUCCGAGCUUAACUCGGAAACUGCCAUUGAUACUAUAAGUCUUGAAUUAUCUGGAGGUAAGCGGAAUAUGUCAUGUAGCGGUGAAAUGCUUAGAUAUGACAUAGAACACCAAUUGCGAAGGCAGCCUACUACGGAUAUAUUGACACUGAGGCACGAAAGCGUGGGGAUCAAACAGG